UACGUAGGGGGCGAGCGUUGUCCGGAAUCAUUGGGCGUAAAGCGCGUGUAGGCGGCCCGGUAAGUCCGCUGUGAAAGUCCAGGGCUCAACCCUGGGAUGCCGGUGGAUACUGUCGGGCUCGAGUCCGGAAGAGGCGAGUGGAAUUCCUGGUGUAGCGGUGAAAUGCGCAGAUAUCAGGAGGAACACCGGUGGUGUAGACGGCUUUCUGGACCGUAACUGACGCUGAGACACGAAAGCGUGGGUAGCAAACAGG
rnacentral:rRNA from 1 species